rnacentral:rRNA from 1 species
UACGUAGGGUGCGAGCGUUAAUCGGAAUUACUGGGCGUAAAGCGUGCGCAGGCGGCUUUGCAAGACAGAUGUGAAAUCCCCGGGCUCAACCUGGGAACUGCAUUUGUGACUGCAAGGCUAGAGUAUGGCAGAGGGGGAUGGAAUUCCGCGUGUAGCAGUGAAAUGCGUAGAUAUGCGGAGGAACACCAAUGGCGAAGGCAAUCCCCUGGGCCUGUACUGACGCUCAUGCACGAAAGCGUGGGGAGCAAACAGG